CACGUAGGGUGCGAGCGUUGUCCGGAAUUAUUGGGCGUAAAGGGCGCGUAGGCGGCCUGGCAAGUGGAAGGUGAAAUCCCUCGGCUUAACCGAGGAACUGCCCUCCAAACUGCUUGGCUUGAGUCCGGGAGAGGUGAGUGGAAUUCCCAGUGUAGCGGUGAAAUGCGUAGAUAUUGGGAGGAACACCAGUGGCGAAGGCGGCUCACUGGACCGGAACUGACGCUGAGGCGCGAAAGCGUGGGGAGCAAACGGG
rnacentral:rRNA from 1 species